rnacentral:rRNA from 1 species
AACGAACGCUGGCGGCAUGCCUAACACAUGCAAGUCGAACGAAGGCUUCGGCCUUAGUGGCGCACGGGUGAGUAACACGUGGGAACCUGCCUUCUGGUUCGGGAUAACGUUUGGAAACGAACGCUAACACCGGAUAAGCCCUUCGGGGGAAAGUUUACGCCAGGAGAGGGGCCCGCGUCCGAUUAGGUAGUUGGUGAGGUAACGGCUCACCAAGCCGACGAUCGGUAGCUGGUCUGAGAGGAUGAUCAGCCACACUGGGACUGAGACACGGCCCAGACUCCUACGGGAGGCAGCAGUGGGGAAUAUUGGACAAUGGGCGCAAGCCUGAUCCAGCAAUGUCGCGUGAGUGAUGAAGGCCUUAGGGCUGUAAAGCUCUUUCGCACGUGACGAUGAUGGCGGUAACGUGAGAAGAAGCCCCGGCUAACUUCGUGCCAGCCGCCGCCGUAA